GUCUACAGCCAUGCUAUCCUGAACAAGCCUGAUCCCGUUUGAUCUCAAAAGCUAAACAGGGUCGGGGCUGGUUAGUACUUGGAUGGGAAGACUAGGUGCUGUAGGUA
rnacentral:rRNA from 1 species